rnacentral:rRNA from 1 species
UACGUAGGGUGCAAGCGUUGUCCGGAAUUAUUGGGCGUAAAGAGCGUGUAGGCGGCCCGAUUAGUCCGCUGUGAAAGUCCAGGGCUCAACCCUGGACAGGCGGUGGAAACUGCCAAGCUGGAGUACGGUAGGGGCAGAGGGAAUUUCCGGUGGAGCGGUGAAAUGCGUAGAGAUCGGAAAGAACACCAACGGCGAAAGCACUCUGCUGGGCCGACACUGACACUGAGAGACGAAAGCUAGGGGAGCGAAUGGG